UUAGUUUGAUUUCUGGCUCAGGACGAACGCUGGCGGCGUGCCUAAUACAUGCAAGUAGAACGCUGAGAACUGGUGCUUGCACCGGUUCAAGGAGUUGCGAACGGNCUGNAGUAACGCGUAGGUAACCUACCUCAUAGCGGGGGAUAACUAUUGGAAACGAUAGCUAAUACCGCAUAAGAGAGACUAACGCAUGUUAGUAAUUUAAAAGGGGCAAUUGCUCCACUAUGAGAUGGACCUGCGUUGUAUUAGCUAGUUGGUGAGGUAAAGGCUCACCAAGGCGACGAUACAUAGCCGACCUGAGAGGGUGAUCGGCCACACUGGGACUGAGACACGGCCCAGACUCCUACGGGAGGCAGCAGUAGGGAAUCUUCGGCAAUGGGGGCAACCCUGACCGAGCAACGCCGCGUGAGUGAAGAAGGUUUUCGGAUCGUAAAGCUCUGUUGUUAGAGAAGAAUGAUGGUGGGAGUGGAAAAUCCACCAAGUGACGGUAACUAACCAGAAAGGGACGGCUAACUACGUGCCAGCAGCCGCGGUAAUACGUAGGUCCCGAGCGUUGUCCGGAUUUAUUGGGCGUAAAGCGAGCGCAGGCGGUUUUUUAAGUCUGAAGUUAAAGGCAUUGGCUCAACCAAUGUACGCUUUGGAAACUGGAGAACUUGAGUGCAGAAGGGGAGAGUGGAAUUCCAUGUGUAGCGGUGAAAUGCGUAGAUAUAUGGAGGAAACACCCGGUGGCGAAAGCGGCUCUCUGGUUCUGUAACUGACGCUGAGGCUCGAAAGCGUGGGGAGCAAACAGGAUUAGAUACCUGGGGUAGU
rnacentral:rRNA from 1 species